UACGGAGGGAGCUAGCGUUGUUCGGAAUUACUGGGCGUAAAGCGCGCGUAGGCGGCUUUGUAAGUUAGAGGUGAAAGCCCGGGGCUCAACCCCGGAACUGCCUUUAAGACUGCAUCGCUUGAAUCCGGGAGAGGUGAGUGGAAUUCCGAGUGUAGAGGUGAAAUUCGUAGAUAUUCGGAAGAACACCAGUGGCGAAGGCGGCUCACUGGACCGGCAUUGACGCUGAGGUGCGAAAGCGUGGGGGAGCAAAACAGG
rnacentral:rRNA from 1 species